GGUCAAGAGUAUUGUAUUAGAGAAAGACCGUAUUGCAUUUGUAAUCCUAAACUGAAUAGGUUCUCUACCUCUUUUGAUUAGCUUGGGUAACCAUGAUAUGCUGCUAGGUGUCACUCUUGGUUUGUGGAAGCCCUAAACGUGUACAAACACUAAAGGGAGAAUUGAAAGUAAGUUUCAAUUCACAAUCGAUUUGAAAGAGUUUUAAUCGCCCACUGCCUCGCUAAAAGGAACCUAAUGGAUCGUACACCGUGUAAGGUGGAGAUUGAAGAAACAAUGGAGAUGAGUAAGAAUAAUUAAAUGGUUUAAUUAUUUAUGGCAAGGAUUAAUUAAUAUGUUAAUUAAUCAAACGAAUAAGUUUGUUAAAGACCUCGGGAUAGUUUUGGACCUUAAGGCCCAAUGGGCUUCGAACGUCAAGCCCAUUGACUUAAGUUGUAUGACAAUUUAAUGAAUAAAGAUUCACAAAGGCGCAAAAGCCCAAAUCCCUUAUGUGGCCGGCCAUGUGUGUUGAAUUAGGGUUUUUUGGUUCUUUAGGUCAUUUAAAGAAGUGACUAUAUAAAGAACUUUAUAGCCUAAAAUUCAUUAAGGGGUUUCUUUUAGGAAAUUGGAGAGAACACAAAGCUCUCCUUUCUCUCUAAAGAGGCCGGCCCCCUUGGAGGGAUUAGCUAGCAAUCCCACUCCUCCAAGGUCACUCAUUUCUUCUCCAAUCUAACCUUGGUGUAGACACUUAGAGGUUCUCAAUUUUGGGAACUUGGAUAACCAUAUUCUUCCAUCCAAAUCCAUGGAUCUAAGAAGCAAUAAAUGAAGGCCUUCUCUUUGGGUGAUUAGCCUUUGCUUAUGCAAAGAGGAAUCUACAAAGGUAUAAAUUUCUCAACUCACUUUGAUUUGAGUUGAGUCUUGGUUCACCAAUCUACUAGGCUUUGAAUUUCAUGGGUAAUGUUUUGUUUUUUAAUGCAUGCAAGCAUGAUUCCGCCUUUUAAUUGUUAAAUGCAUGCUAUAGAUGUUAUUCAAAUGAACAUGUUUUCACAAAAUCAUCCUUCAAACCCUAUCUAGAACCUAUUUCCUUGCCUUGCAAGGCUUUCUAGAAGCCUUAUCCUGCCUUAUCCAAACCUGCUGCACCUUUUAACCUUUUCCUUUGAGGAUUUUGAUUAUUUAAGCCUUUUUCCUUGUGGAUUUGGAUUCUAGAAGUCCAUAUCUGAUUUCCCUAGGGUUUUAGGUGCCUAUAUAUAUUGAUAUUUCAUGCCUAGCUGCACCACGACCUCUCAUUCACAUCAUUCACGCUAGAAACAAAGAGCCUCUAUUUGCUGCUGCCUUCCACCACCAUACUCCAUAAUUCCUGCCAAAAACCAACCCUUGCCACACCACCUAUCAAUUCCACACCAUUCAUAACCCCAGAAACCUAUCCAUAAUCUCUGUGCCACAGCAAGGAGGAAGGAGGAAUCGUCGAUGCACCUGCUGGCCAAGUUGGAGUGUCUAGGUGGUUCUCUUUCUUUGGAUUUCAAUGUUUAAACUUAUUUAUCUUUGCUUUGUGCAUAUGAGGAACUAAACCCCCCUUGGCUAGGGGGGGAUUUGAAACCAUGUUUAUGCUUGCUAUAUGAUUGGAUUACUUCUAAUUGCGUUUCAUAAGUUGUGAAUUCAAUUUACUUAUCUAUAUGAAUUAAAACUGAUUUGUGUGUGUUGGUUGAGAGUGCACGCUUAAUUUUCAUGCAUAAGUUUGAUCCUAGGAUAUAAGGGAAUUUCACCUAAUCGUUAUGAACUUAUAUUCGAAAGUAGUAAAGGUUGUUGAUCACAAUCGUGUUAAGUAAAUUCUUGGCAUAAGUUUCAUGCAAUUCAUAGUAACAAGUGCCUCGCCGAUGCUUAUGAUUUUCAUAGAACUUAAUGAUCUUUGCUUGUAUCUUUGUUAUGCAAUUCAUGCAGGGAACUUGUGAGGAAUGCUUUGGGUUGUCGUAUGCAAUUCAUCCAAUUCGAUAACUUUAAGAAAAUCUGAGGGUUAAUUAGUGCAAUUCACGGUUAAUCUGGGGCGUUGGGAAUUCAUUGUUUAUUGAGAAGCAAUUGGAAAUCGUUUUGUAUGCAAGUGUGACAUGUGUGGAGAAGAACCCCUUGGCUAGCUUUCCAUCCAUUCACUUUAACCAAAUUCGUUUUUAAAAUCUGUUUAGUUUACAAAGUUUCUGUUUUGUUUUCAAUUUCGUAAAAAUCAAAUCCCCCUUUGUUUUGAAGUGUUAGAUUAGUUAGAAAUCAAUUUAGUUUGUGUUUUUAAGUGUCUUGAGUCAAGUUAUAACCUAUUUCCGUCCAAAUUUGUGUUUGUGUUCAAAACUGCCCAGAUUGUGUUUUUAAGGCAGUUUUGAGUGUUUCUGGGCUGUUUUGAGUCUUUUGGUUGUUUUAGUGUUUUAGAGUUUAGUUUUGCAUUCUUUGAGUCUAGUUUAGUGUUUUAAACUUUGUUUUUACGUUUUGAGUCAGUUUUCAAUUGAUUUAGCAAUCCCUCUUAAUCCCCGGCCUAGAACGAUCCUUGCUUACAUACCUUGCUACAAUUGACAAAAAGAGGGUUGAAUUUGUGUGCUUAUAUAUUUCACAUCAAAUUUUUGGUGCCGUUGCCAGGGAUUAGCAACAUUGCUAAUCCCUUGGAUUGUUUUGUUUCAGUUUGUUUAAAUUGUCCAGAUUCUGACCUUGUUUUUGUUUCUUGUUUUAGGUACUAGUUUAUGACUCGGAGUUCUCAUUCGAUUUGUGAACACAUCUUGGACUUUGACGACGAUUUCGAGCGAGAAUUGAGACGAAAAAGAAAGAAUCCAAAACUUAGUGAAUCAAGUUCAAAUUCAGAAGCCGAAGUUGAGUUUGAAGAUGAGGAACCCACGGCAAUAGUGGGUGAAGUAGAGGAAGUCAUGGCACAAGACAAUCGUACAAUCAAGGAGCUUUCAGCUUCGGGGAUUGGACAAUGCCGCACCCCUAUGUAUUCAAUAUCUCGCGGCUACCCAAGGAAAGACUGAGGAGUUCGAGUUAAAAUCAGGCUUGCUGCACCAUAUUCCAAAGCAUCAUGGAUUGUCCAUGGAGGAUCCCAACAAGCACUUGAAAGAGUUCGAGGUGGUUGUUCAAGCAUGACUCCAAUCAACGUCGAUGGGAGAAUAUUGAAGAUGAAGGCCUUUCCCUUUUCUCUCUUGGAAAAGGUGAAAGAUUGGUCGUAUGCUGGAACUGUCACAUCUUGGGAGAGCAUGAAACGGGCCUUCUUGGAGAAGUUUUUCCCAACUUCUCGAGUCAUUCUCCUACGAAAAAGGAUAAGUGGAAUUUAGCAAGAUGAAGGUGAAUCUUUUCCUACUUAUUAUGAACGUUUUAAAUCUCUUGUUGCUUCUUGUCCACAUCAUCAAAUGAAGGAGAAGCUUCUUCUACAAUACUUCUACGAGGGACUUCUACCAAUUGAACGUCAAAUGCUAGAUGCCUCAGCGGGAAGAGCUUUGGUGGACAAGACCCCCACGGCUGCAAAGACUUUGAUUGCUAAUCAAGUGUUGAAUGUUCAACAAUACGAAGGUGUUGGACAAAGAAGCACCCCACGGCAACAACAAGUGCAUAAGGUAAGUGCAAUUUCUGAAACACAAUCUCAAUUGGCUAAUCUGUUGGAAAUGUGCCCUAAAACCAAUCAUAUGAUGAUACUUUACGGACAUUUCACAUGUUAAACUAAUCUAGUUUAAUAUCAAGGGCAAAGAUUAUUGUUUUAAGCCGUCUCAUAUAAAUGUUAUAUGCUUAAACGAUAAGUCCAAGGAAUAUGUAAUUAGGAGAAUGUAAUUUAAACAAGUUAGAUUUAUGAGACCAUUCUCUUUCAUAUACAUAUCCAACGUUCUUGAUCAUAGGAUUGCUAAUUGGGCAUUGACAGUCCGUUAAGAUCAGUACGUGCUGUGUCUUCUCUCAUGGAGAGUGACUGGUCUCGAGUCAUUGGUGUGAUUGACACCAAGACAAGCAUGUAGGUGCUCAAUAACGAAUGAGUCCACUGAACACGAUCAACGAGGAGUUCUCAUACUCAUGUCACAUGAGAACUCAUGGUUGGGAUAAUGCAAAGUAGUCCUUUGACCUGAGGCAUCAUAGUUGUCUUAUGGUUAGGUACUUGAUCUUUGAUUAUGUCAAAGUCACCCCAUCCGCAGGUGUCCAUGGCAUAGUUGGGGUUAAGCCACUUAGCCAUGGAGGUAAGUGAAUGCGCAACAAGGGAUCUCUAACCUUCAAACCGUUUGGGGGAGAAUACUCUAUGAUAUGAUUAAGAAUCUCUGGCCAGAGUAUGAAUGAGAUUUAGGAAGUUGUUCCAAAUCACAUUCAAGGUAAUCAUAUAAGCACACGAAUCACAUUGGAUAAUAGACAUGAAUAAACUAUCAAUCCAAACAAUGUGGUCAAGAGUAUUGUAUUAGAGAAAGACCGUAUUGCAUUUGUAAUCCUAAACUGAAUAGGUUCUCCACCUCUUCUGAUUAGCUUGGGUAACCAUGAUAUGCUGAUAGGUGUCACUCAUGGUUUGUUGAAGCCCUAAACGUGUAUAAUCACUAAAGGGAGAAUUGAAAGUAAGUUUCAAUUCACAAUCGAUUUGAAAUGGUUUUAAUCGCCCAUUGCCUCGCUAAAAGGAACCUAAUGGAUCGUACACCGUGUAAGGUGGAGAUUGAAGAAACAAUGGAGAUGAGUA
rnacentral:lncRNA from 1 species